AUGGACCCAAGCCGCAAGCACGGCGCCACGGGCGCCUCCUCCUCGUCGUCAUCCGCCGACGGCACGCACACUAGCUGCAAGUUCGAGGAGGAGGCGAGGAUGACGGGGGACGCGCUCCUCGUCCUGGACGGCCUCGUGCAGGUGUUCCCGCAGGUUAACUUCUCAACACUGAUAGAAGUUUCCAUCUCAUUCAAUGGAGAUGCUGAUGCAGCAGCAGAUUAUGUUAUCCAUAAUGUCCUUCCAAAUAGUACCGCAGAUGACAAUAAUGCAAGCACGAAUGAUGAUUCAGAUAUUCAUGGGCAACAUCAGGUAUUUAGUGACACAAACACUAGUUUCACGAUCCCGCCAGUGGAUGAUGGUACCAUUCCAAAAUCUGUACAGUUUGACGCUAUCAAUGAAAAUUCUGCUGAACAUGGAGAAAACUCCAUGGGAGAACAAUUGAUGCAGUCACCUGCUGCAGCAUCAACAUCUGGUCAGGACGGUCUACCUGAAGAAAUUGAUUCUGAUUCUGUGCUAGCUGGUGCGCAGAACUCAGUUGUUGAUCAUGAAGUAGCUCAUUCUGAAAACGAGCAGAAAGAAAUGAAUUAUCUGGACCCCGCUACUGAAGAUCACCGUGAUGAACAAAUACACUCAUCUUCUGAGGAAAACCAGGCCGAGCCAACUUCUGAAGAUAUUUCUACGCUGCAUGGUGAUGAUUCACCUGAUAUGAACGUGCGAUCAAACUAUUCUGUUAGCCCUGAGUCCAUUGAUGAUGCAAUCUCUGCUGAAAACUGCAAGAAGAAUACUUUGCUGUCAAAUGUGGCAGCGAUAAGUGAAAUGCUAGAGGAGGUUGAGGUUAGUGAGGCAGAAACAAAACAUGUUGUAUCCGAAGCAAGUCAAGCUGGCAAUGAUAUUCUUGUAAAGGCGGCGAAGCUAAAAGAAAUGUCUACACUUGCAGCGGAAGAGAACAACAAGGUUGCAGCAGAGGUUUUUGCUGAGAAAUCUAUUCUAGCCUCAGAAGCGCAGGGGCUCCAGUCCUGGUUGUUUGACAUUUCUGAAGAACGAAAACACUUCAUAUCAGUCAUUGACGAGAUGCACCAAACUCUUCAAAGAAGGCUCGAUUUAGCAGAAGCAGAAAGGGCAGCCGCUGAGAUGGAAAUGAUUGAAAGGGAAAAAAUGGCUCAAGAAAUGCUAAAAGAACAGGAAGUCCUACUUGAUGCUGCCAAGGAAGAGUCUAAGAAGCUGGAGCAACAGGCAGAGGAGAAUGUAAAGCUGCGGGAGCUACUGAUGGACAGGGGCCAUGUUGUGGAUGCAUUGCAUGGAGAAAUGCUUGGAAUCUUCGGCAACAUUGUACAGCUCCAACGCAGAGUUGAUAUGGGAGUUCCUGCCGAUGAACAACGGCAACUAGCUUCAUCGAUCCUGUCCAGCUCAGUCGAGUCAGCAGCUGGCGAAUUCCCUGCUGAAGAACCACCGCAGCUCGCUCCAAUGAGCUUUCCCAGCCCGGUCCAAUCAGCACAUUCUGGACUAAUCUACGUUGAUGAGCCACUGGAACUAGCUUCAUCGAGCUUAGCGGGCUCAGUCGUAUCAGCGCCUUCAAAACUACUUCCUGUUGGUGAAUCGCUGGACCAAAGUUCAUCGAGCUUGGUCGGCUCCGUCGUAUCGGCGCCUUCCAAACUGUUCUCUGUCUGUGAGCCACUUCAGCUAGCUUCAUCGAGCUUGUCUAGCUCUAUCAGAUCGGCCACUUCCGGGAGCAGCUGGUCUUCUGCCACGGAGUCCAAUUCGGGUUUCAAUGACGAGGAGGAGAUCGCCGUUGCUUCUCCCCGUGACAAUUUUGCUCUGGACGACACCUGGGAUGUAGUUGAAGACGAGGAAUGCGUGUGCUAA
rnacentral:rRNA from 1 species